ACUUAAAUAGCUUAUGGAUUAGAGCGCGACGCUGAAGAUGUCGAUGAGGUAUUUACCUUUAGGUG
rnacentral:tRNA from 1 species